rnacentral:rRNA from 1 species
GACCCGUCUUGAACCACGGAGUCUAGCAUGUGCGCAAGUCAUUGGGAUAUACAAAACCUAAAGGCGAAAUGAAAGUAAAGAUUCACUUUUGUGUUUCUAAGGGAUGAUGGGUUGUGCCACAAUAUAACCCCGCAAUCCCGGGACGUCUCAUUCUCAUUGCGAGUAGAGGCGUACCUAGAGCGUACACGCUGGGACCCGAAAGAUGGUGAACUAUGCCUGGUCAGGUCGAAGUCAGGGGAAACCCUGAUGGAGGACCGUAGCGAUUCUGACGUGCAAAUCGAUCGUCGGAACUGGGUAUAGGGGCGAAAGACUAAUCGAACCAUCUAGUAGCUGGUUCCUUCCGA